AUGUAGGGAGGGGGAGGGCCGUGCUUCUGUCAGCCAGAGCUAGAAGCACUCAGGGUUCUCAGAGGCCACUGACUGAGGCAGCACAGCAGCCAUGAGUUCCCUGCAAGAUGUUAUUGUCAUCGGUGGAGGCAUCUCAGGAAUUUUUAACUUUCACAAUGUUGGAUGUGGACCCUUGAGCUUCGACCUUUAGGAGGCAAUGCGGCCCAAUAUGGACAUCAGUGUUCCUCUACUCAUGCGUUAACUCAGACACAUAACUGUCCUUUUAUAUGAUAUGACUGCUGCAAUGGUAGAGGGAUCAUCCCUCCACGACUGCUAAAUCACCGGCAAUUGGGCUUGGACUGUCGGCGGGGAUCAUGGAAGUGUUCCCCUCUGACAUUCUCGCAAGACUUGCCAUAAUAUGGGUGAAUAAACUUCAGUUUGCUUUUUAACACUA